CAUGUGGACUGCAGUUGACUGUGGAUAACUGAAACCAUGGAAAGUAAAACCGUGGAUAAGGGGAACCGCUGUAGAGUAAAUAAUUCUGAGCAAAUGGCAUCAUUCUGCAGAUUAUCAGCUACUUCUCAGAAGAGUUCACAAAAGAGAAGAGUACUUUUUUCUGUCCUUCAGUUCUAGAUUUGAUUGCAGGAGUGGAAUUUAUCCAAAAGCAAAACGACAUGGUUGUUAAAUCUUACACUAUUAGACUUAAGUAAAUCCAUAAUACAGAUUGUUAAAAAAUGUGGUUACUGGCUAUGUUGACCAAGCCCUUGUCACAAAACUAUACUGAGAAAGUGAACCGUGCGGUUCUUAUAUUUUAAAAUUGUAUGGGCCAUUUUAAUGCCUCCUUCAAAACUUGAACAGAAUGUCAACUCGUCCAUUUUAUCUUGCAGUUACAAAAUCAAAUAAUGAAGCAGAUGGACAAUAACGCUUUAUUUUAAAAGAUCACCGUGUUAACCUUCAUAGGGGCUAUACCAUUUUGCAUUGUCUUUGGCAACAUGCAAAAGGGCCGGUUUCCCCACAGCCUAAACACCAGAAUAUAUCAAACUUUUGGAGUUUUGCCCAUCUAACAGUUGCAGAACUGAGGCUCUCAGCUCUUAGAGGACACCACUGGUUCUCUCCAUGGGCAGUUCACAUCAUAGCAGCUUACUUCUUCAAGACCAGCAGAAGAAGAAUGUCUCUUUUUUUUCAGUCUGCUAAGACAGGACCGUAAAAGAAGCUUAUGUGAAGAGGAACCAAAAGCAGCCUUCAACAAAUGGCCAGCAAGGAUGAAGAUUUUAGUGGUGCCAAUACUCAUGUGAGUCAACUUGGAGACCAGUCUUUCCCCAGAUGAUCCUAGGAUGACUGGAAAACAGACAAUUCCUUUAUGGUAGCCUGUGAGACAUCCUGAAACAGGGGACGUCAAUAAAAAAUGCCAAGAUUCCUGACUAAGAGGAAUUAUGAAAUAAUAAUUGCUGUCUUAACCCAGUAAAUUUUGGAGUAAUUUGUUAUAAAACAAUA